GAUGAACGCUGGCGGCGUGCCUAAUACAUGCAAGUCGAGCGAACGGACGAGAAGCUUGCUUCUCUGAUGUUAGCGGCGGACGGGUGAGUAACACGUGGAUAACCUACCUAUAAGACUGGGAUAACCUCGGGAAACCGGAGCUAAUACCGGAUAAUAUUUUGAACCGCAUGGUUCAAAAGUGAAAGACGGUCUUGCUGUCACUUAUAGAUGGAUCCGCGCUGCAUUAGCUAGUUGGUAAGGUAACGGCUUACCAAGGCAACGAUGCAUAGCCGACCUGAGAGGGUGAUCGGCCACACUGGAACUGAGACACGGUCCAGACUCCUACGGGGGGCAGCAGUAGGGAAUCUUCCGCAAUGGGCGAAAGCCUGACGGAGCAACGCCGCGUGAGUGAUGAAGGUCUUCGGAUCGUAAAACUCUGCUAUUAGGGAAGAACAUAUGUGUAAGUAACUGUGCACAUCUUGACGGUACCUAAUCAGAAAGCCACGGCUAACUACGUGCCAGCAGCCGCGGUAAUACGUAGGUGGCAAGCGUUAUCCGGAAUUAUUGGGCGUAAAGCGCGCGUAGGCGGUUUUUUAAGUCUGAUGUGAAAGCCCACGGCUCAACCGUGGAGGGUCAUUGGAAACUGGAAAACUUGAGUGCAGAAGAGGAAAGUGGAAUUCCAUGUGUAGCGGUGAAAUGCGCAGAGAUAUGGAGGAACACCAGUGGCGAAGGCGACUUUCUGGUCUGUAACUGACGCUGAUGUGCGAAAGCGUGGGGAUCAAACAGGAUUAGAUACCCUGGUAGUCCACGCCGUAAACGAUGAGUGCUAAGUGUUAGGGGGUUUCCGCCCCUUAGUGCUGCAGCUAACGCAUUAAGCACUCCGCCUGGGGAGUACGACCGCAAGGUUGAAACUCAAAGGAAUUGACGGGGACCCGCACAAGCGGUGGAGCAUGUGGUUUAAUUCGAAGCAACGCGAAGAACCUUACCAAAUCCUGACAUCCUUUGACAACUCUAGAGAUAGAGCUUUCCCCUUCGGGGGACAAAGUGACAGGUGGUGCAUGGUUGUCGUCAGCUCGUGUCGUGAGAUGUUGGGUUAAGUCCCGCAACGAGCGCAACCCUUAAGCUUAGUUGCCAUCAUUAAGUUGGGCACUCUAAGUUGACUGCCGGUGACAAACCGGAGGAAGGUGGGGAUGACGUCAAAUCAUCAUGCCCCUUAUGAUUUGGGCUACACACGUGCUACAAUGGACAAUACAAAGGGCAGCGAAACCGUGAGGUCAAGCAAAUCCCAUAAAGUUGUUCUCAGUUCGGAUUGUAGUCUGCAACUCGACUACAUGAAGCUGGAAUCGCUAGUAAUCGUAGAUCAGCAUGCUACGGUGAAUACGUUCCCGGGUCU
rnacentral:rRNA from 1 species